rnacentral:rRNA from 1 species
GGGGAAUAUUGCACAAUGGGCGAAAGCCUGAUGCAGCAACGCCGCGUGAGUGAUGAAGGUCUUCGGAUUGUAAAGCUCUGUCUUUUGGGACGAUAAUGACGGUACCAAAGGAGGAAGCCACGGCUAACUACGUGCCAGCAGCCGCGGUAAUACGUAGGUGGCGAGCGUUGUCCGGAUUUACUGGGCGUAAAGGGUGCGUAGGCGGAUGUUUAAGUGGGAUGUGAAAUACCCGGGCUUAACUUGGGUGCUGCAUUUCAAACUGGAUAUCUAGAGUGCAGGAGAGGAGAAUGGAAUUCCUAGUGUAGCGGUGAAAUGCGUAGAGAUUAGGAAGAACACCAGUGGCGAAGGCGAUUCUCUGGACUGUAACUGACGCUGAGGCACGAAAAGCGUGGGUAGCAAACAGGAUUAGAUACCCUGGUAGUCCACGCCGUAAACGAUGAGUACUAGGUGUAGGAGGUAUCGACCCCUUCUGUGCCGCAGUAAACACAUUAAGUACUCCGCCUGGGAAGUACGAUCGCAAGAUUAAA